CCCCAAGCCCCGCAGCUGGAAGAGCUUCAGGCGGGGCCGACGCGCCGCGUCCUCCCCGGCCUCCAAGCCCGACACCACCGUCGCCUCCAGAUGAUUGUGAAACUUCACAACCACAAAAGGAGACUUUCUCAGAGACAGGUGGAGUCUCCUAUCAUCCGAUUUCUCCUUUUUCUGCAACCUGUCAGAAGCUUAAAGGGGAUUAAUAAAAUGCGAAAUAGAACUCUUUGGAUGAUUAAAUCAUUUAGAAAUCCUGAAGCAUUUCAACUUUCCCAGUAUUAACAAACUAUCCCUUAAUAACAACAACAGCAAAAAGUUCUCAUGGCCCAAUGGACUCUUUCAGCAUCUAGUAAGUAACCCCAGAAAGAAGUUGUAGAGGCUCAUGGAAAAAGAAAAUCAUGAAUAAUGUGGGAUUGACUUACUCAGCAUGUUCAGAGACACGCACAACCACCACCCAAAACUCAAAUGCUGUUCUGCCAUAAAUGCUCCUGCAAAUC